AUGCCAAAAUUUGUCGAUGUAAGGCCUCUCUCUGGUAAGUAAGUCUAGUCUCGAGCAGUGCGAGUUUAUGCGAUAUCUCUGACGUCACAAGUUCUUCCCCUGCCAUUUCUGAGGAGAAACCGCCUGUAGUUCUUGUUCGCCGCCGUUUCCUCCGUUUUGUUCGCAAAUCCGCGACCCUGGAGCCCCCGGAAGACUAUAUCAUGGAAACAGAUACUAUAGGAGAUGAAAAAAUAGAAGAAACGAAGUUACGACAGAUGACCAUCCUAUCCCAGCCAAUCCAGAAGAAGCGAGAGCGGCCAGAGAACUUUGAGGAGGAGCGAGACUUGUGUGUUAAGUAUUUUGAACAAUGGUCAGAACAGGACCAGCUGGACUUUGUGGAACAACUGAUAUCUCGAAUGUGCCACUACCAGCAUGGACAUAUCAAUGCCUUCCUCAAGCCCAUGCUGCAGAGAGACUUCAUUACUGCAUUACCCAAGAAAGGCCUAGACCACGUAGCAGAACAAAUAUUGAGUUACCUGGACGCCAAGUCCUUGUCAGCUUGUGAGCUGGUGUGCAAGGAGUGGUACCGGGUCAUCUCUGAUGGGAUGCUGUGGAAGAAGCUAAUAGAAAGAAUGGUGCUGACUGACCCAUUGUGGAAAGGGCUGGCAGAACGCAGGGGAUGGGGACAACAUCUGUUCAGACCGAAGCCAGGGGAAACGCAACCCAACCAUCAGUUCUACCGCAAACUGUACCCUAGGAUUAUACAAGAUAUUGAGCAAAUAGAGACAAACUGGCGGUGUGGCAGACAUAACCUACAGAAGAUACAGUGCCGAAGUGAGAACAGCAAGGGGGUGUACUGUCUCCAGUAUGAUGACAACAAGAUUGUCAGUGGGCUUAGAGAUAACACUAUUAAGAUCUGGGAUAGAAACAACCUGGAGUGUGUGCAGGUGCUGACUGGACACACAGGGUCGGUGCUGUGCCUGCAGUAUGACGACCAGGUCAUCAUCUCCGGCUCCAGCGACUCAACAGUCAGGGUGUGGAACGUCCACACGGGGGAGAUGGUGAACACUCUGAUCCACCACUGUGAGGCUGUGCUGCAUCUCAGGUUUCAGCACGGCAUGAUGGUCACCUGCUCCAAGGACCGCUCCAUAGCUGUGUGGGACAUGCAAUCCCCAACAGACAUCAACCUGAGAAGAGUGCUGGUGGGCCACCGGGCAGCCGUCAAUGUGGUGGACUUUGAUGACAAGUACAUCGUGUCAGCUUCUGGAGAUAGGACAAUCAAGGUGUGGAGUACAUCGACGUGUGAGUUUGUGAGAACACUGAAUGGCCACAAGAGGGGCAUCGCCUGUCUCCAGUACAGAGACAGACUCGUCGUCAGUGGCUCUUCAGACAACACCAUAAGGUUAUGGGAUAUCGAGUGUGGAGCAUGCUUGCGUAUUUUGGAAGGGCACGAGGAGUUGGUGAGAUGUAUCAGGUUCGACAACAAGCGGAUUGUCAGCGGAGCAUAUGAUGGUAAAACUCAAGGUGUGGGACUUGCAGGCAGCAUUGGACCCCCGAGCACCAGCUGGCACCCUUUGCCUUAGGACUCUUGUGGAGCACUCUGGAAGGGUGUUCAGACUACAGUUUGAUGAGUUCCAGAUUGUCAGUAGUUCCCACGAUGACACCAUACUGAUCUGGGACUUCCUGAACGUUCCCCCGCCGGACCCGCCCGCCCGCUCCCCUGCACGGACCUACACCUAUGUCUCCAACACAUGAUCCCAGGAAGCACAUCUUGUGUCCAGUCUGCUGGUGUGAUUGUCCUGUAGGCCUACUGAGAGAUGCCUGCUUGUGCUAACUAGUUCAACCGUCAUUAGCCCUGUGAAACCAUCUUUGGACAACAUAGAGACGAGUGGAAAGCAAUAGAUUACAUCUUGGGAUGCACUUUGUUAGAACAACACAAAAGCUAUAGUUCUAUUAUGUUAACAAACUUUAAACUUAGUAAGGUUAGAAAGAGCAGUGGUACAUUGUGUACAGUAAAUUUGUUUACUUUCGCGAUGGUUUUAUUUUGCGGUAAGAGGUGAAAGGAACUUUUUGCUGUGUUUUCAAUUCACAGCUUUACCAAUCUGUAAGUAGUCACUAGUAAAUACCAGUUCAUUGGAAGCACAUAUUCAUGGUGUCAUGAGUUUCCGGUGAAGAGGUCAUCGUGAAAAUAAAACAACCGCGAAAGUUUCAAUAUUUACAGUAGCAGAGCUUUUGCUGUAAAACUCUUCAAACUGUGAUUGAAGAAGUGGUAGAUCAGAGAAGUGAGAUUCAAAUGGCAGAACAGCACACCUGAAGCAAGUGGUAAGGAUCUAGGCACAUCAGAAGAAACCAAGUCAAUGAAGCACUUUCAAGCUACAAAGUUCUGUGAAAGAAAUUCAAACAAUGAGGACGUUACUGUGGUAGGGUGGUUUGAAAGAUUUGAGAAAUGGCUCAAUGGCCACUUUGUGUUACAGAGUUCAAAAUUUCUCAGCAAGCAAACUACAGUAGGUGUGCAAGUGGGGAAUUUGUUAGGCCAAUGAACUACAGUCUGAUGCACAAUCUUUUUUUUUUGGACUGAGUCACAGCCAGGAGCAGUGGUGGACAAAAAGUUGUCCUCACAAAUGUAAUUUUCCAACCAAGGGGCAUUUCUUGGGUAGGUCAAAGCUCAUGAUAAGUGUAUUCUCCAAACUCAAGAAGGAAUACUUGAUGCUUAUGUCAAUACGAUUUUUGACAUGCUUUUGGCAUUUGAAAUGUUCCAUGGAACUUGCAAUCUUUCCAUGUUCCAUACUGCUUGUGACUGUUUAUCUCCGAAAUCAUGGCAGGAGGAAGCUGCAAAAUUCUAGCAUUGUUUUAGAUUUAGAGCUUCUCAGAGCCUUUGCUGUUAAAAGUGCACUCAACAAAAAAAAAACAUUUUGAAUUGUAUAUAGAUAGAUCUCUAACAGUGCUAUUAACAAAAGUAGUCAUGAACAUACUUCCAAACCAUAUAGAUUACACUUUUUUUCAUGAUUUUCAACCUAGAAAGGAAUCAAACUUAAGUCUGAUGUUUGAGGUUAGCAUGAGUACUUCACUGGUUCAAAACAGGUCCUUUGGUGCAAGAGGUGGGCCAGUGAUCUACAUGUGUAAAUAUAUCCUACUUAAAGUGCUUGCUUUUCGGAAUAGUGGUACAUCACAAAGCUUUCUAAAACCUUUGAUGCAUCUUUGAAACAAUAACGACCUAUGGGCUGUUCAUAAUGCCUUAAACACACAGCCCACUUCACUGUUACCUCUAGCUGUUCAGGGGUUACAUUGUGCUGCCAAUUUUUUUAGCUGAAGUGGUAGUAAUUUUCCUUGUGAGCCAUUCCAUAACCACUGUGGUUGGUGAAGGAAACACUCAUUUGAUACACAUUGUAUCUUACUGGAUCAUAGUCUUUGUCUUGGCCUCAGUAGAACAGUACAAUUUGUAGCAUUCAGUCUAACAAACUUAAAUCAAGUAUUGCUGUUGCGAUGUAAUAAUUCCUCAGUUGAUUUUUUAUUUAGGGAUUACUUCAGAAGUUCAGAUUUUCUGCAGCGUAGAUGGGGAAAGGUGUUAAGUGUUAGUAGGGAUUCAGAUGGGAAAAGUUCUUGGAUGGGGUAGGGCCUUAGCUUUAGCUUGCAGAAAAUUUUUGGCUUUUGAGUGCAUCUUGUAAAAGUUGUAUUAUUGUUACAGAAAAAAAUGUAAAUGUGUUUAAAAACUAUACAAGCACUGUAGUCAUUCUGUAUGGCCACGGCUAGAAGGUUACAUAAUUUUACAAAAAGAUGUUCUUUGCUUACACAAGUACACAUACAAAACUGUCCUGUUCUAAGUUUCUACUCUAUAUACGUGAAAAGCUGUAAAUUGAUUGUUUUAUGUUCUAAAUGAUUAUUAAAGGUCUGCAAGUGUCA